GGGAAAAAUAGCUUAGUUUUGGAGAUGAACAGAGCAGGGUUGAACUCUCAGCAAGGCACAUGUCACUGGACGACCUCAGGAACUUCUAAGGACUGUUAGAGAGGUGGAGUGCAUCCCAGCUGAAGAUAAAUGUAGGACCUUACAUGCCUGUGUACUCACGCCAUCUCUGGAGGGCCGAGUAUGAACCUGCUCUGUGGCAUUUUGAAACACGACUGCCCGCCCCCAUCCUGCUUCAGAGAAACCAGGGAAAUAUAUUCGUGAUCUGGGGAACUUGUCUUUCAUGGCCACUGUUAUAAUCCUACGGUGAAGUGCACUGCCUGGCAUCCU